AUGAUGAAGCAACUAAUUGCAAGCAGGUUGCGGCAAAAUAAUAGUGGAGGAAGUGCAAGUAGUAAAUCUGAGCUUGAAAAAUACCUUGCCGAAGACUCUGAAGACCCUGACAAAAAAAUUGACAUCCUAGGAUGGUGGAAAGAGAAUUCAUCUAGGUUCCCAAUCUUGGCAAAUAUGGCUCAUGAUAUUCUUGCUAUCCCCAUUACAACGGUGGCUUCAGAGUGA
rnacentral:rRNA from 1 species